AGUGAACGCUGGCGGUAGGCCUGACACAUGCAAGUCGAACGGCAGCACAGUAAGAGCUUGCUCUUACGGGUGGCGAGUGGCGGACGGGUGAGGAAUACAUCGGAAUCUACUUUUUCGUGGGGGAUAACGUAGGGAAACUUACGCUAAUACCGCAUACGACCUACGGGUGAAAGCAGGGGAUCUUCGGACCUUGCGCGAUUGAAUGAGCCGAUGUCGGAUUAGCUAGUUGGCGGGGUAAAGGCCCACCAAGGCGACGAUCCGUAGCCGGGCUGAGAGGAUGCUCCGCCCAACUGGAACUGAGACACGGUACAGGCACCUACGGGAGGCAGCAGUGGGGAAUAUUGGAAAAUGGGCGCAAGCCUGAUCAAGCCAUACCGCGUGGGUGAAGAAGGCCUUCGGGUUGUAAAGCCCUUUUGUUGGGAAAGAAAAGCAGCAGGUUAAUACCCCGCUGUUCUGACGGUACCCAAAGAAUAAGCACCGGCUAACUUCGU
rnacentral:rRNA from 1 species